rnacentral:rRNA from 1 species
AGAGUUUGAUCCUGGCUCAGGACGAACGCUGACGGUGUGCUUUAGGCAUGCAAGUCGAACGAGAAAGCCCUUCGGGGUGAGUAGAGUGGCGAACGGGUGAGUAACACGUGGGCAACCUGCCCCUCGCAGGGGGAUAACCGGAGGAAACUCCGGCUAAUACCCCGUAAGCUUUCAGGGUCGCAUGGCCCUGUAAGGAAAGGUAGCUUCGGCCAUCCGGCGAGGGAUGGGCCCGCGGUGCAUUAGCUAGUUGGUGGGGUAAUGGCCCACCAAGGCAACGAUGCGUAGCUGGUCUGAGAGGAUGAUCAGCCUCACUGGGACUGAGACACGGCCCAGACUCCUACGGGAGGCAGCAGCCAGGAAUCUUGGGCAAUGGGCGAAAGCCUGACCCAGCAACACCGUGUGGGCGAUGAAGGCCUUCGGGUCGUAAAGCCCUGUUGAUAGGGACGAAGGGCGAAGGGUUAAUAGCCCCUAGCCUGACGGUACCUUUCGAGGAAGCCCCGGCUAACUACGUGCCAGCAGCGGCGGUAAUAC